rnacentral:lncRNA from 1 species
UUUGAGCCACCAAUCCUAAGCUUCUUCUCCGACCUUCUUCCUCAAUUUGUCGUCGGAAGGAGCUGCCAAAACCCACCAUAAAAAUGAAGUAUUGAUAAGUGCUAAAUAAUGCAUAAAUUAGCCUAUUUUUCAUAGCACUUAUCAUUAUUUUAAUUCACAUAUUUUGUAAAUUUAACCAUAAAAGAUGUGAUACCUUCAUCAUUGCAUUUUAAUAAAUUAUUAAAGGUAAUUCGAGUUUGAUUUAAUUAAUCGAGUCUAAUGUGUGCAGGUCCAGUCCAAUAGUUCCCAAGUCAUCCACUGUGGUUUAGUUUCUCCCGCAUCCAAUUGAGUUCAAUCUCUCAAGAUUAGUUUGCAUCCUUAUCCUCUUCUUCAAAACAGAGCCAGCUCAAUCUCAUCUUCUCAUCUUCUCCAUGAUCCUCUUCCUCCUUAAAUCCUUCUUUCAUGUCAUCACUUUCCUCCCCUGUUUAAGCUUCAAAACAGAAUGAAUCCAAGCUCCCUUCUUCGGAAUAGAAUCCCAUCGUCCACGGCCAAAUCUCUUCUUCCCAACGUCAUCGUCAACUUCUCAUCCAAACCAGCCAGUGUUCCGGAUUAAUCCCAGGCAUCCGCUCCCAAGCUGUCAGCCGAAAUCCCAACUCAAUUUCACGUUCAAUCCCGUUCGCAAAUCAAGCCAAACUCCCGAGCUUCACGGCAUCCAAACAAAGCCUUCCUCCCAGCUGCCAGCCGUCUCAGCUUCACGCUCGCUCCCAACCGUUUCGUGAAUUCCUCCCAUGCUAUUCUCCCCUGCUUCCUCGGUUCAGCUUCAUCCCAGACUUCACGGAAACAGCCCCUGCUCCAUGUGUCUUUUCCAACUUCCGGAUGAGAGUCCAAUCAUCCACGAGAUGUCUACGAGUUCCUAGCAAAGAAGAAUCACCCUCUCCCAACGUCCAAGUUCAUCCAAACCCCCAGCUCAUCUUCCGGCUUUGAUCCUCCUAGAUUCCCUACUCUAGAUCGAGCCCAGCCUUCAUCCCGUCCGCAAUGAACUCCCGUCAUCCACAGGAUAAGGCCCAGGCGUUCAUUCCGGAUCAGCUCAUGCAUCAUCUGCAUAUCGAAUCAAGCUUCCGCGUCCUAGCCACGUCCAAGAGCUCCUUCCGCAUCCCCUGCUUCAGAACAGAGUCCGAGUCUUCAUCGAUCCAACCAUCCACGGAUCAGUCUCCCAUCCACGGAAGAGUUCCAGCUCUUCAACCAGCAAGCUCAACCAUCCAGCCGUUCCCAAGCUUCCUUUCUUCCGGAUUGAGUCCAGUAACCACGGAUAGCUCCAAAUCCCAGC